rnacentral:rRNA from 1 species
GCUUAUGGCUACGCAAACGUGAGCAUGCCUGAGGAUAAGCAUUCUUGGCCCUGGUUAGCACAUGGGUUGGAAUCUGCCUGGGAAUACCAGGUGAUGUAAGCU